GGGCCCGUAGCAUAACCUGGAUAGUGCGACCGGCUUCGGACCGGUUGAUGGGGGUUCAAAUCCUCCCGGGCUCG
rnacentral:tRNA from 1 species